GGGAGUUUCCCAUCAAAAUACUUUUUAUAAUUUUAGCAUUUUGAUGGCUACCUCCC
rnacentral:pre_miRNA from 1 species